UUGCUGCGCUUACACCUCAGCUGCUGUGGCACAGUCUUCUCUCACUCAAAAAGGAAGCAAGCCAACGCAACGCCCGCCCUCCCACUGCCCUCCCCACUUCCCGGAUACACACGCACACACACACACACACACACCCGCACACACAGAGAGAGAGACGCGCUACCGUAUACCCACUCAAACGACGAAGAAAGCGGAAAAACAGUAUGCCUUCGAAGCGUAACGGCUCGCCGGCCCGCAGCCGCAGCCGCAAGGGCCGCUCUGUCUCCCGCUCCGGCACUCCCGCGCGCGCUCGCACCCCGGCCAGCUCUCGAAGCCGCCGCCGCAGCAACAGCACUCCCCCUUCACAGGAGGUGAGGGCUCCGAAGGAGGCUCCUGCUAUCUCCAUGUGGGAGGCAGACGCUAAGUUGAUGGCAGCGAUGCACCGUCGUCGUUCUCGCGGCAUGCGCGGCUUCUUUCGGAACGAAAAGGUGCGCCUGUGGGGCUACUGGGCCGCAGUCAUCAUGCUCCAAGUGAUGAUGAUCGUUUGGGCCAAGUGGGCCGUGGACAUGUACAAGUCGUACAAGGCGAGCCACUAGAGCGCACACUUGCCACGGUGUGCGCAAGCGUGUUGGUCGGUGCUGCACGAGUCACGCCUCGUCUUUUCUCGCUCACUUACCAGCUCCUCCACACGUCCCUUGCCCUCUAAACCCCUCCUGCGCUGAAUGGCGCGCCUUUACGGCACCUUGCUCAUCGCCCCAUCCCUGUCCCUCCCCGCACAACACUCUGUGUUUUUGUGUACCUGUACGUCUCGUUAUUGGUGUUCGUGGGGGGUGUAUCUUCCAUGCUGAUCUCCGAUCUGGCGGUGUUGCUGAUUUUCUCUGCAUCUCUCCCUGUGUGAUUGUGUGCCUGUUCGGGCUUAACGAGGGUGCACGUGCUUGUGUAUCCCCUAUAGAUACGGCGUGCAUUCGUAUGCGUUGUAGAUGGAGCGGGGAAAGAGGGUCAGCGGCGGUGAUGAAAGCAAGAGAGAGGGGCUGCAAUGAGAGCCUCAUCAUACAGAGUUGGGUGGUGGUGGAGGGAAGGGAGGAUGAGCUGUAAGGAGAGACGUGUGGGGGAGGAGGGGGACUUCAGUGGCAAAAAGACUGCUUGAGAUAUGGGCUCUUAUAGAUUGUAGGUGUCUGUUAUGCAUAGGUUUGAGUUUCCUAUGUGGGUAACAGGAAAGACGGCGUUAAUGAAUGUCACUUAUCCAAAGAGAGAGAGCGGUAGCGGCGGAUGCAGUGGUGUUGUUGGGAGGGGGGGAGACGGACGCUUGUGGUGGCGGCACCUCUGCACCUUCGCCUUGUUCCCUUCACUUAUCUCUCUUUUGUGCGUUGUGUUGUGUUGUUUCCUCUGUACUAGAAUGUUUUUUUCUUUCUGUUCCCUUUCCGUCGGAUGCUUACGGGCACAAACACACACACACACACACACGCCUGCACAGGCGCACACAAGCGGAGGAGCGUGGCGGCCAUGCUGUGAUACACAGAAACUGCUGUUUGGGGAUCUCGGUGAUCGUCAUGGUGACGGGCAGAUCAGUAGGCCAGAUCCCCUUCUCAAAUGAACCGCACUGUCGCAUGAGUGUCUGAGUUCUCCCUCGUACACUGUGUGCCUCCCCCCCCCUGGUGCACUCGUCCGCCCGUCUGCCUGUGCCUGUGCCUGUGCCUGUGCCUGUGUGUGUGCGUAUGCGAAGGCGUUCGACGGCGUUCAUACGCACCCUCUUUUGUUUUGCUCCCUCUCUUUUCCAUCUCCACUUGUACCAUGUCUCUGUCUUUUGCCACUGUAUGCAAGUGUGUGCAUGUGCGUGUGUGUGUCUGCAUGUAUGAGCCAUCGCUAUGUAUGUCGUGUGCGUGUUUUCGGGUCUCAGCGUGGGCGCGCUGUACAUGUCCCUCCGUCUCUCCCUUCCUCCCUCUCUCUUUCUCACACACAUCACCUCCCACACCCACACCCACGCACACGACGGACGCUUCUUUCACUUCUUUUCUUGUUUUUCUUUUCUUUACUCCUCUCUUGCCCCUGCGCGUCUGGCCGAUGUUUCACUUGGACUGCCCAU
rnacentral:misc_RNA from 1 species